UGGUGGCAACGUAACCGGCCAGAACAUUGAAACGAUGUGAUUUUGUUAUAUCUAAGUAACUUUUAAAAAUGGUACUGAAUUAAAAAUGCGGAACUUAGAAUUUUGCUUUGUAUUUUACACCAAAAACUUGUAUGUGGUGAAAGGCUAUUCCACAAAGCGCGCGCUCUCUCUCUUUUGUGUUUAUAUUUCUGUUUUCGCCCGUCGCGCGCAGCGACAGUCAAAAGAGGUCUGCGCUGAAAGUUGACAAGUCAAAACUCCUCUUGUUUUGGUGCGUUUCGUCGUGGUCGUCACGGUUCGCGGUUGUUUAUAAGCAUCUUCACUAUUUUCGCGUUCGUGUUUUGUUUUCAAAAGUGAGUGUAAAAGAACUGCCUUCCAUCCUCACAGCAAGUAUUGGCUGCGUUUGUUUACAUCCGUGAGCAGCUAGAAAAAAAAAAGUUCCAUCCUUCCGUCCAGCGGGAUCGAAGUCGCCGAGGAGGAAAAACAAUACAAAGGUGACAAUUGAGUGGUUUUCCGGAUCGUUUGUUUACAGAAGUGUUUGCUUCUAGAGUGCUACGUGAAAAUCCACCAGGUUUGUUUACUUCCAAGAACCAACCAAAACAAAUCAACCGGAUAACCACGCAAAUUUUUAUUAAAUUUUAAUGCAAACAAUCAUGUUGUUUCAGAUUUCGACGAAAAGUACCUUUUCAGAUUUGUGAUUCCUACCCCGGCUGCCACCAACAAGGACGCGUUUUUAGCGACAGAUUCUCUCGGUGAAUCCCGAAUUGUGUGGACCUGUUCUUGUGCAUUCUAGUCGACAUUGUCGAGGAUGGUCGUGGGCAAAGUUCGUCGCGGCCAUUUAGAUAGGUAUAUUUAGCUUAUCUUCCCUCCUCCUCUUCGUCCUCCUCUUGAGUAAAAAGUCUUUUCGAGCGGCCAAGCAGCAGUUGAUAUUCUGUUGACGGAGCUGGCAAUAGAACCAAUGCAGCCCGAGAGUUUUCGGCCUAAAUGGAAACAUCACAAAGAAUGUACUGGUUUGUACCUGAAGCAUGCUUUGAUCUUAAAAUGAAUUUCGUCAAGUGCGACAGGUCAUCAGGGUGCGACACGCUCUCAUCAACCAGCGGUGCCACUUUUAUCUAAACUCGAAGCUUCCAAACUACGAAUAACCGGCGUGAUAUAGCUGCGCCGUUUCCUAUCGCAAGCGAUUUCAAGUCAAGCAGAGUACCUAAUUGACGACGUCCACAGGAUGGCGAAGAUGGAGCUGGCAUCGAAAAUGCUACAGUUGUGCUGGAUGGGGCGUACGACUUUGAUCAACAUCCUGCUGUAGCGAAAGUUUCCUUCAGAUUUGUUUAACUUAGAAUUAGAAAUGUCUUUUUUUUGACAAGUCAAACCUUUAGACACACGCAAUACCUCUUCCUCCCGAAAUUAAACACCAGUUAAAAGGAACCCCCUUUUUUAGCUUAGGAUUUUUCGAUCAUUGUACUACUAAAAUGACAAAAUAAAUUAAAACAUUUGGACAAAGUAAAA